UUGCUGUCAUAUCCAAUAGCGGAGGAAAAGAAACCAACAGGGAUUGCCCUAGUAUACGGCGAGUGAAGCGGCAACAGCGGGAGUCAAAUUUGAAAUCCGGCUUCGGCCCGAGUUGUAAUUUGCAGAGGAAGUUUCUGGCAAGGUGCCCCCUCAGUCCACUGGAACGUGGCGCCACAGAGGGUGAAGAGCCCCGUCUGAGUUGGACACCGCGCCUGUGUGAAACCCCUUCGACGAGUCGAGUAGUUUGGGAAUGCUGCUCUAAAUGGGAGGUAAAUUCCUUCUAAAGCUAAAUACAGGCCCGAGACCGAUAGCGCACAAGUAGAGUGAUCGAAAGAUGAAAAGCACUUUGAAAAGAGAGUCAAAUAGCACGUGAAAUUGUUGAAAGGAAAGGAUUUGUGACCAGACUUGCGCCGUGCGGAUCUUCCGGUGUUCUCACCGGGGCACCCGUGCGGUUCAGGCCAGCAUCGGUUUCUGGCGGGGGGAUAAAAGCAGUGGGAACGUAGCUCCCCUCGCGGAGUGUUAUAGCCGCCUGUAGAAUAUCCCCGCCGGGGAUGGAGGCCCCGCCUUUUUCAGGGGAUGCUGGGGGAAAUGGUUACUAAUUCACCCCGGUCUUGAAACACGGAACUCUAUGGAAAGCAGAAAGCCGGGGAAAAAAACCCCCCGCCUACCUAAAACAAACGACGUAGAGAGGG
rnacentral:rRNA from 1 species